rnacentral:rRNA from 1 species
CCUACGGGUGGCAGCAGUGGGGAAUAUUGGACAAUGGGGGGAACCCUGAUCCAGCCAUGCCGCGUGUGUGAAGAAGGCCCUCGGGUUGUAAAGCACUUUCAGUGAGGAAGAACGCCUGGUGGUUAAUACCCAUCAGGAAAGACAUCACUCACAGAAGAAGCACCGGCUAACUCCGUGCCAGCAGCCGCGGUAAUACGGAGGGUGCGAGCGUUAAUCGGAAUUACUGGGCGUAAAGCGCGCGUAGGUGGAUUGAUAAGCCGGUUGUGAAAGCCCUGGGCUCAACCUGGGAACGGCAUCCGGAACUGUCAAGCUAGAGUGCAGGAGAGGAAGGUAGAAUUCCCGGUGUAGCGGUGAAAUGCGUAGAGAUCGGGAGGAAUACCAGUGGCGAAGGCGGCCUUCUGGACUGACACUGACACUGAGGUGCGAAAGCGUGGGUAGCAAACAGGAUUAGAUACCCGGGUAGUC